UGAGAGGUCCUUAACUUUGCCUGACAGUCCUCGAUUGAUUGUUCUCGAACUCGCCUCCGCAGGCGAGGACCCCGUGGCGACGGAACCUCUCCAAACUUCGCUAUCCCUCACUGACCCCCCUGUGACGACUUCACGGUCGCAGGAGGGCUAUGGAACUGCCAGUCUGCUACGCGGAAGGCUGACUUCAUUUCAGCCUACGCGUCCCUCUUCUCCCUACAUUUCCUUGCCCUCACUGAGACCUGGAUCACACCAGGCAACACUGCAACCCCUGCAGCCCUCUCCUCCUCCUUCUCCUUCUCUCACGCUCUCCGCCCGUCUGGCCGUGGUGGGGGCACAGGGCCCCUGGGAAGCUUCCUCGAUGAGCUCAACACCCUGCUCAGCUCCUUCCCAGAGAAUGGUGUAAAGGGGAGUCAAACUGGGACCCAGAAAAGGCUGGCAUUUGAACGGGCCUGCAGGCUGGGACUCAUCCUGUACUUCAAAGAACCCAGAGCCGUGUGAUAAAACAAUAAGUUACUUGGACUUCCUCGGGAUAAGCAGGCCAUUUGGCUCUCUGGAAUGUUGCCACUGGACACAUCUAAGAUAAGGGGAACUAGUCUCUUUGUCUAUGGUUGUGGGGGUAUGUGUGUUCGGGCCAUUAAGGGUAAAAAGAUCAUCAGGCCUCUGGACAAAUGGUGGGGCAACUACGCUUGACAGUUCCACAGUGCCGUUAUGUGGGCCCCUCUAUCAUUACACUUUUUAUUUAUUUCUGGAUCUGGACUCUAAACCAUCUGUUUAUCAUAUUUACAAACCCCGGAAAACCUUACAAACCAUGCACGUGUUUUCAUUAUAUUACUGUAUUAUGCCUUAUGUAAUAAUAACAUGGAUUGCAUGUAAAA